rnacentral:rRNA from 1 species
GACGAACGCUGGCGGCGUGCUUAACACAUGCAAGUCGAACGGUGAAAGAAGAGCUUGCUCUUCUGGAUCAGUGGCGAACGGGUGAGUAACACGUGAGUAACCUGCCCCAGACUCUGGAAUAAGCGCUGGAAACGGCGUCUAAUACCGGAUACGAGACAUAGCUGCAUGGCUACUGUCUGGAAAGUUUUUCGGUCUGGGAUGGACUCGCUGCCUAUCAGCUUGUUUGUGAGGUAACGGCUCACCAAGGCAACGACGGGUAGCCGGCCUGAGAGGGCGACCGGCCACACUGGGACUGAGACACGGCCCAGACUGCAACGGGAGGCAGCAGUGGGGAAUAUUGCACAAUGGGCGAAAGCCUGAUGCAGAGAGGCCGCGAGAGGGAUGACGGCCUUCGGGUUGUAAACAACUUUCAGCAGGGAAGAAGCGAAAGUGACGGUACCUGCAGAAGAAGCACCGGCUAACUACGUG